AAAUAUAUAUAUAUUACACACAAAUAAUGCAAUUCAGUCAUUUGAAAGCAACUGCGCAAAUACAAAACGUGCGUAUAUGUGCAUAUGCAUCCUGACAGUAUGAAAAUAUGUGCACUAGGUAAGUGACUUAAACAGAUCAGCACAAAUGCAGAUCGAGAAACACAUGAAUACACAAAGUACAUUUACACAUGUGCAGAAAGAGUAUGGUACUCUUUUUCCUAUACUACAGACGAUCCACACCACUUUUGAAGGCUAGUUCUGGGUCAAAUUCUCUUUAAAGUAUUAUCUUCUGGAUAUAUAGACUUUCUUGGGAUAACAUUGUCUUCCACCUUCAUUUGUUUUGUACAAGUCUGUUCAUGGUGCAUGUUAUAAGAUUAUCAAGAACCACAUGCAGACAAGAUGAUAGUAACAACUGUUUACAAUACAAGCUUUUCAAGGUAAAACAUUAAAAAUCAUUAAGAUUCCCAGUGCCAGAACUGUUUGGCUAAACUAUACUAUCUACUGUACCAGAAGCUACAAAUGUUGGAAGCAAAACUUUCUCAACCUGAUGUGUUAAUUAACCAAAAUGUAAUUUAUUUUGUUAAAAUCUGUAAAUGCUUCAAACAUCAAAAGAAAACAGAAAAAUCAAAAGCUACUGACAUUUCCAAAUUCUGAGCAGGGUAGCAAGGACAAACUCCUGACAUUAAUAAUAAGGUUAAUUUAUAUAGCACCUUACCCACCAUCAAAGGCUGGCUCAAAAUUCUUCACAAGCACCUCCCCCCACCCCAAAUUUUUGAAAUAUUAUCUGUAAGUUCUUGAAGCUAUUGAAAUUUGGUGCAUAUUUAUAGUCAGCAGUGAGUUGCAAUUUACAGUAACUCCUUGUAACAUUUGUGUUUAGUAGUGGAACAAUGGCUGAACUGCGAGAGAUGUUUGUGGUGGUAAGAAAAAUACAUGUAUAUCGAUAUCAUCGCAUCUGUGAAAAAUCUUGAACAUUUGAAUGGUUAUCCUUCCCACCAGAAAGUGCAGUCUUCAGUCUAUCAGAGUAAGACAUAUAUCUUUACAUUUGAAAAGUGAUUUAGUAGCACUUCUUUGUAUUCUUUCUACUAAUAUAGAUGGCCUCAUUAAGAGCAGACUCCAGAUCACAGGAAUUAUGGAUUAUUUAUGCCUUUGCAUAUAAUGUUUAAUUUUGCUCAUGUUUCAGAUAGGUGUGAAUACCUGAUAUAGGUACAAUAUAUAACAUAAAUUGUAGGUGUGCACUUCUAGAAACUACCAGCUCAUGGUGUACAGGGAUAUAGGAGAGUGGAGUAUGGUGUCAACUGGUGGAGGUGACCUUUCAGGCACAGGACUCUAUCAACAUUGUGGGAAGUCUGUGAAAGGUCAGGGGAUAAGAUGGUGAAGCCUGCAUGUUUCUAGCACCCUGCAGGUCUUUACCCACUGCUUAACCAAGCUUAUAAGGUACAAAGGAUAAACAGCCGCAGUACUACAUUUAAGGUGGUGCUGCGCUUGAAAAGGAAAACGAAUUAAUUCUGGCAUGCUAUCACUGCCACAAAUUUAAUUAGCCCUGCUUUCACUUUCAUCUAGAAAUGCUAAUGCAUAUUUGUGACCAGUACUUGCCUAGCAACAUACUGUGCAUGCCUUUCGAAAAGUGAAAGUGAGUGGGUUUUUCUUGACUAAAAAAAAGUGAAGAUCCUACUAGUAUUUUAACGCACACCUGUCAUUCACUGCAGUAUGUGAGCAUGCAAAUAGUCUGCCUAUAAGAAAACCUAUGACAUACUUCGGACAAAAAUAUGCAUUUGUGGGCGUGUAUAUGAGAAGCAAAUAAAUUUCCACCAGAGGACUUUGUAUUCUCCUAGCGUGAUCUUCUUUUAAUGCCAGGCCUGACAAGAAGGGGGGACAGGAAGGUCUGGUGUACCUGGGACCACAGUUGUGAACAGGGCCCUGCCUUGGUCAGUGGAUUGACCGUGACUUUUAACAGAGUGUGCAUGCGUAUACAUAUAUAUGCUUUAUCGAACCCACAACCGGCUGCAUUGCUGAAUUCUUUGAUGCACAACACAAGAUUAUUCUCAUAAUCUGAUAACUUAUGUCUGUCACUAUCAAACACAUUGUGACUUCUUAAUUCGAAUAGCUUUUGUAUUUUUGAAUUGUGAGUCACUUGUUUUAAUUUUGUAUGUCUUUUUCUUCUUCGUUUACUUCUCCUGAAAGUUGAAUAAAGAUUUUGUCACUAUUAAUUCCUCUCUAUCUUUUGGAGUUUGUGUUAAAGGGGUAUAAACAGACCCUUGAUUGAUGCAUUGCAUCAUAUAAUGUACACUGUACCUUUGAAAAAUAAUAACAAUAACAGUCUUGAUGAGAAGUCAAUUAAACAAAGUAGUAAAAUGACUUUCUAAUGACUGAAGAGUAUUGUACAUUUGCAGCUCAAGGCAGGAGAGAAAGCAUAUUCAUGGAAAUUAAUCUCGAAGUCAGAUGCUAAACAAACGGACAAAUAUAGCAGCGCUUAUCUGCUCAAUGCCAUUAGCAGACAGUGCAUCCUGCAAAACGGCUGCCAAAGUACUAGACAGGUGGUUGGGUAAGGAGAGGGCAAGAAGUCUUAAAAUCUGCGAAACAGGAGGUGUAUCUAACCCUGAAUUUAAAGGUUCACACAAGUGCAAAAAAUAAUAAUCUUGACGAAUCAACUGGGCUGAACUCAUAAUAGGGUACUAAUUAGGUACAAUCUGAUUGAAUGACGCAGUCAAAAACGUCUGACAUCAGGACUGUACCUUGAUUCCCUUAUGUUGCCAAGACUACAGCAAUGGGAAACCUAUAACCAAGCUAGACAUAUCCAUGGACCACAGUCAUUCAUGAAGUCAGGGAUUUGGCCUCCUUCUGUGCAUGGUGAUGCUUGUAUAUUUAUUUGCAUCUUGGGCACUGGCGGGGUCUAUUUACUCAGAUUUUGAACGAUACAAUCCCUUGUAGAAUUUUAACACCUCUACCAGUCCAAUGCCAAAAUCAACCGAAGUGAGCUGUCUGCUGCCUUUAUAACUGAUGAAGAACUUCUGGCCAUCGUAGUACUCCCCAUCCACCAAAAAGAAAUGUUAAAGUAGUAGAAAUAGCGCACGUUUUUUCUUGUGCACAAAUGAAAACAGAACACAAACAAUUUAAAAAGAAGAUUGGCAUACAGCCUUUAAGUCUGGCUUGUGGCCAAACAGCCAGGGAACCAGCGAACACACGAAAAAGAGAUUGGGUGGAUGGCUGGAGAAAGACCCAAACUCUGUAGAAUUUAAACUAAGCCUCUGAAUAUUUUGUGCAAAGUGUCGGCUACCGUCGAGACGAUACAAAGAUAUUUAUGUGGGAAAGAAGCCAAAACAAAACAAACCAAAAAAAUCGUUGUCUUUCUGCGGUGCGCGUGCAUCCGUUUUAAGAAACACUUAACCACCUGUAGACACAUGCAGUCGCUCUCACCAACGUAUUGGUUUGAGAGGGGCGGGUGCGCCCAACAACAAUACUUGGCUUUGAGGAGGCAAGCAUCUAUUUAAGUGCCUUUCUCCGUGCUCCGAGGAGUUAAAUACCGCGCAAGCUUUCGCUCUGGCUUUCAGACUUUGAAUAGGCUCUUUGUAUCGGUUUCCCGUCUUCAUUCCUUAGCAUUCACGAAGGUGACCAGAAAGAAGCCAGCAGUACUGAUAUUAUGCUUAAACCUAUUUAAGCUCGAUCUGUCUUGAGAGCAGCUUGGUUUUAUUUUUUAAAAGCUUCUAUAUUUUAUCGGCGUCUUAACGCCUGAAUUUGAUAGGCACUGACACGCCUCUGCAUUCUACGAUUCGUGUGAAUUAAAACUCCACGGUAAUGUAGUUUGUAUACACGGCUACACGCACAUGGCUGUGAUCAUAUUAACAUGCAGAACACAUCAUCACAACUGAGUUUAUCAUGGGAUAAUGUAUAGUCUGCUGAAACAGGAAAAAAAAGUUUCACGUGCGCCAGAAUGGUUGGCCAGAUCAUCUAACACACCAAGCUGGGUCGCAGUAAAGGUUCUAUACAUUCUCUCCACAGAUGCUUUGCAUGGUAAGCAGGCUCUUGACCUUAUGAUAAAAUUCCGCGCGUCAGAGCCCCUGAUAAACCCUGGUGAAUUAAUAACUCCAUUAACAGACACUAGCACUUCAUAUUUGCAUGCAGCACCACCAAUUUAAGAAAAAUGCACUGAAACAUUUUUAGCGUCCACCAGCUUUUUUUUUGUAGUUAUCUAUUUAUUCCUCCUUCAUCCUAGCCGAGCAACUAUUUGUCUCCCAAGAUUUAUUUAGUGAUUUAUUUUGCACGACUUUUAAACACACCACUUGGGCUGACUACACCAUGACUUUAUACGGCUUGUAUAGUGCUGUAAACCGAAAACUCAUUCUGUUCAUUCCCCUUCUACCUGAGAUGCGUGCCUCAGAGCACCUGGGUAUUUGCCUUUGAAGGAAAGUGAAUGUUUACUUGCACCGAUGUCUGUGAAUCAGCAUGGGUUCUAGCGUGCGAAACAUCACGUGACAGGAAGCUGCCAGAGUUCAGGUAAUGAGCAGAGCUGACGCAUUGUUCAGGAAUUUAAACCUGCCGACGCCCUAUUUACUACUCAAAAAACCAAGGCAAGAUAGCAACAGACUGGUACUCAGCAAAAUGGCUCAGAGUCAGAAGCUGAGGUCUUGGAGCUCUUUGUGAGAGACCAGCUUGCCAGACCAGAGUCAGAAUUGCCAUCAACAGGGAUGAUUCCAUCAUCGAGCUGAUAACGGGUCCCAUGC
rnacentral:lncRNA from 1 species